rnacentral:rRNA from 1 species
GACAGAGGGUGCAAACGUUGUUCGGAAUUACUGGGCGUAAAGCGCGUGUAGGCUGCUCUGCAAGUCGGGUGUGAAAGCCCCGGGCUCAACCUGGGAAGUGCACUCGAAACUGCAGAGCUCGAGUCCUGGAGAGGAAGGCGGAAUUCUCGGUGUAGAGGUGAAAUUCGUAGAUAUCGAGAGGAACACCGGUGGCGAAGGCGGCCUUCUGGACAGUGACUGAUGCUGAGGCGCGAAAGCGUGGGGAUCAAACAGG